rnacentral:rRNA from 1 species
GGGCGGGGCCUACGGGAGGCAGCAGUGAGGAAUAUUGGGCAAUGGAGGCAACUCUGACCCAGCCAUGCCGCGUGCAGGAAGACUGCCCUAUGGGUUGUAAACUGCUUUUAUACAGGAAGAAACUUAUCCACGUGUGGAUAACUGACGGUACUGCAAGAAUAAGGACCGGCUAACUCCGUG